AUGCAUAUACUGUCCACAUGGGCACACGUUUACUCUUGCCUGCGCGCGCCACUGCUUCAUCAAACACUCGCGCACACGCACAGCCGGGUGCACGCUGUCGCUUCGCCGCACAAACACGGAUUGUACGGGCCCCCAAAUAUGCAGCCACCCUUCCUUCACGCAGAUCUGCACGCUCCCAUUUAUGCAUCUCCCAAACAAAGGUAGCAAAACAAGGACCUCGCUGUGCAAAGCUGUGAGUAAAUGUCCUGCAAAUUGCGCCUCAGAGCCCAAGCUAGUCUACUAAACUCGCUCUCCCUUUUUCAACUUUCCCCUAAGUAAACAGGCCUUCUUUUUAUCCUGCAAAUCUCAGGCCCAAAUUUCUUCCACCUGAGUUUGAGCUGUUUAAAGGACUCUAAUUUCCAAACAGUUGGAGAGCUCUUUUCACCGACCUGGAACGUUCUGUCCUGUCGAGGAGCAGAGGUGGAGUGUGGAGUGGAGGUGGGGGAAUCUCACAGUCUAGGGGACUUGGGGAGGGCAGGGUGUGGUCGUACUCUGGGGCAGCCUUGCACCUAGAGAUCCUAUCCGUGUCCGCAGCCUUAUUUUCCUGACUCAGAACCAUAGGAGCUUUUAGCUAUUUAGGGACUCGCCAAGGCAGAAAUCUGCUCCCAGCUGAAGCGUCUUCGCAGGUGUUCACAUUCCCUUCCCAGAUGGGUGUUGCGGAUAAACCCACAGAUCUGUAUUCAGCGUGUUUCCCCUGGCAAGUUUGCGCGAGUGAGAGCCAAGACUUCAGCUAGAACCGGAAGAAAGGGUGACUGCAGGUCGCACAGUCAGUGUGACAGCCGGGGCUGGAGCCUGCGCGCCCCUGCUGUGCCCCGUCCCCGGCGGGUGGGGACCGACCGAAGCUCGUUGGCGUGUGAGUGCCUGAAUGCGCAUUCAGUCCGCGCCUCCGUCAAGACUUUCGGAGUCUCCCCCUCCCUUGCUCACCUCCGCUGCUUUGCCCUCCGGAAGCGACUCGCGCCCUUUGGGACAAAGAGCUCGGAUCGGGGGCUGGAGAGCCCGGGGACCAGUCAGCGCUCCAGGGGGGAGGAGAUUUUCCACAAGAAAAGGUUGUUUUCAUGUUCGGGAUUCAGGAAAGCAUCCAACGGAGUGGCAGCAGCAUGAAGGAAGAGCCGCUGGGCAGCGGCAUGAACGCGGUGCGGACGUGGAUGCAGGGCGCCGGGGUGCUGGACGCCAACACGGCGGCGCAGAGGUGGGUACCGCGCGGGAGCGGGGCGGCUCGGGGCUGCUGCCGGCUGUGCUGCUUUCGCCGCCCAAGGCCGGAGAACCGGGAACGGCCUGCGAGCAGCUCACGCCUUGUCGGCGCUUUCCCCUGCUUCGUCUGCGACUGUUUUCAUUUCGUUUUAACCCAGAAGAGGCGUCUGGCCAGCUUGAUGCUGGAGAUCUGUUUUUAUGAGAUCGCUCUUUCGUUCCUGGCUGGCUUCAUUUUUUUUCUUUCUUUCCGUGUUCUCCUUUUCUUUCUUUCUUCUGUCCCCUUUCCUUUUCUUUCUUCAGUUCUCUUUUUUCCUUGCUUACUUUAUUUUCUUUUAUUCUCUCUCCUCCCUUCCCUCCUCCUCUCUCCAUUCCUUUCUUCUCCUUAAUUCCCUUCUGUCCUUUCCCUCUUUGCCUUCAUCCCUCCUUUUCUCCCUUCCACCUUUCCUUCCUCUUCUUUCUCCAUGCUUCCCUCCCCUCUCCUUGCCUUACCUCUCUGUCUCUUCUGUUUUCUCUCCCCAUUUCUCCCUGGAGUCUUCUCUUAUUUCUCCUAUCUGGCUCACCCUCCCUCUCUCUAGCUUCGGUUUUUCCUCGGUCCAUCCGUAGAAUAGCGACUCCCCACUUUAAUCCUGACAUCCCCUGGAGGUCCUCCCCACCCCCUGUCAGCGUGGCCUCUUCCAGCCGCCCCUCUCCCCCGGAAGCGCCCUGGCUGUUGGCCGCCGUGGCCUGGAGCCCCUGCCCUCCGAGGCUGACUUGAGGAACUUUCCUGGGCACACCCCGGACCCUUUCCAGAAGCUCCUGGUCCCCAGUGAGAAAUGGUCCCUUGUCAAUUCCUGGCCAGCUGCUGGGCUGAAGGCAGUGGGAAAUCUGGCGGCCCCAGGCCCUGUCGGACUGAGAGAGCGCGGAAGGGGAAGAAGGAAAAUGAGUAAUUACAUCAUCUGCAGCUUCCCGGGGCUGGAGACAAGUGUCCCCAGCACUGUUCCCAUCUCCGCUCCGCAAAAGGUUGGGGGUGGCCGGUAGUGAGAGUGAAUCGGGUAACUGGGCUGGAAGCGAAAGUGAGUGUGCGCG
rnacentral:lncRNA from 1 species